GACGAACCGUGCAAACGUUAUUCGGAAUCACUGGGCUUAAAGCGCGUGUAGGCGGGCCGGCACGUCGGUCGCUGAAAUCCCCCGGCUCAACCGGGGAAGCGGCGCCGAUACGACCGGCCUGGAGGGGCGUAGGGGGACCUGGAACUUCCGGUGGAGCGGUGAAAUGCGUUGAGAUCGGAAAGAACACCAACGGCGAAAGCACUCUGCUGGGCCGACACUGACACUGAGAGACGAAAGCUAGGGGAGCAAAUGGG
rnacentral:rRNA from 1 species